UGCAGUAAAGGAAAAAAGAAGACUUUAUGCCUGCUUGUAGAGGCAAUUAUACUGCUCGGGAAAUAGUCAGUACAUUCCAUUUCCCUCGUGAUGAAGAUGCAUGGAGAGAAUGGAUAAGAGCAGUUCACCGUGAUAAUUUCAUCCCUUCAGAUCACUCUGUGAUUUGUGAGCUGCAUUUCCAUGCACACGAAAUAGAAAGAAGUACAUCGUCAUAUGAUGCUAAGACUGGAAGAUUAAUUACACGCCUCUUGAUCGUCCACGUUUAAGGAAAGGAAAUUCUCCCGCAGUGGAAAACACGUGUGUUGGAGCUGCACAGAAAUGAUUGUAAUGUGCAAGAAAUUAAAUCUUUAAACAUCCUCGUUGAUGUUAAAUCAAGGGAGGAGUUUGGACAGUGGUUGGCACAGUUUGAAAACAUAACAAAAACAACUUGUACAAUA